CGAUCGGUAGAGACUUUAACAUUGUUGAUGGCCUCAUCAGCUUUCUGGGAAGAUAAAGUGAUUACUUCGAACUUAAGGAUAACAAGUGAAAAUAAGCCUUCUCUAUUGAUUCAAAAUGAAUACUAGUCUGCAUCAUAGUUUCACCCUUUAAAAUAAUGUUGCCAGGUUGCCAAGUUCUAGUGAUUUCUGGAUUUGUGAGUGGAUCCAAAUUAAAUUUCUAUUUUCA
rnacentral:lncRNA from 1 species